rnacentral:rRNA from 1 species
AACGAACGCUGGCGGCGUGCUUAACACAUGCAAGUCGAACGGGAACAGUUCCUUCGGGAACUUAGUAGAGUGGCGCACGGGUGAGUAACACGUAGGUAACCUGCCUCUUGCUGGGGAACAACUCCGGGAAACCGAAGCUAAUUCCGCAUAAGUCCUCCGAAUCGCGGUUCGGAGGAGAAAGGUGGCCUCUUCAUGAAAGCUAUCGGCGAGAGAUGGGCCUGCGCAUCAUUAGCUAGUUGGUAGGGUAAUGGCCUACCAAGGCUACGAUGGUUAGCUGGUCUGAGAGGAUGAUCAGCCACACUGGAACUGAGACACGGUCCAGACUCCUACGGGAGGCAGCAGUGGGGAAUAUUGCGCAAUGGGCGAAAGCCUGACGCAGCAACGCCGCGUGAGUGAUGAAGGCCUUCGGGUCGUAAAGCUCUGUCGGGAGGAACGAAUACCCGCUUGGAACAACACCCAAGCGG